GACAGAGGGUGCGAACGUUGUUCGGAAUUACUGGGCGUAAAGCGCGUGUAGGCUGUUCGGAAAGUCGGGUGUGAAAGCCCUGGGCUCAACCUAGGAAGUGCACUCGAAACUCCCGAACUGGAGUCCCGGAGAGGAAGGUGGAAUUCUCGGUGUAGAGGUGAAAUUCGUAGAUAUCGAGAGGAACAUCGGUGGCGAAGGCGGCCUUCUGGACGGUGACUGACGCUGAGACGCGAAAGCGUGGGGAGCAAACGGG
rnacentral:rRNA from 1 species